GGAGGGAUUUGCUCAGUGGUAGCACUUGCUUAGCAUGCUCGAGGUCCUGGGUUCAAUCCCCAGUACCUCCA
rnacentral:tRNA from 1 species